AUGUCGUCCACCACGGCAGGGGCCGCCCUCCUCCUCCGCCCCACCUCCUCCACGACGAACCAUCUCCUCCGCUUUGCCAGCCCCUGCCCCAAAUCCCACCUCCUCCGCCUCCACUCGCCACGCCGCCGCCUCCCCGUCCUCCGCCUCUCCCUCACGCCCCCCGCCACCGCCGGCAGCAAUUCAGCGCCUUCUCCUCCUUCUCCGCCUCCGUCCUCCACGCCCCCGCCUUCUCUUUUCGCCAACUGGUCUCCGCCGCGCGCGAUCUGGCGGGGGCUCUCGGCGCUGCUCCUCGCAGGGCAGGUCUUCCACCGCGUCCUCACGGGACGCGUCCACCGCCGCAACCUCCUCGCCCAGCUCCGUCGCGUGGGCCCCGGGAGCGCGGGGGUCUCGCUCCUCACCGCCGCCUUCGUCGGCAUGGCCUUCACCAUCCAGUUCGUGCGCGAGUUCACCCGCCUCGGUCUCCACCGCUCCGUUGGUGGCGUCCUUGCCCUCGCGCUCGCCCGCGAGCUCACCCCGGUCGUCACCGCCGUCGUCGCUGCCGGCCGAGUUGGCUCCGCCUUUGCCGCCGAGCUCGGCACCAUGCAGGUGUCCGAGCAGACGGACACCCUCCGCGUCCUCGGCUCACAGCCCAUCGAUUACCUCGUGGUUCCCCGGGUCCUCGCUUGCGUGCUUGCGCUCCCUGUCCUAACCCUCAUCAGCUUCGCCCUCGGGCUCGCCUCCUCGGCGUUCUUGGCCGACGCCGUCUUUGGUGUAAGCACCAGCAUCAUUCUGGAGUCAGCACGCAAGGCGCUGCGACCAUGGGACUUGAUCAGCGCCUUGAUAAAAUCACAGGUGUUCGGUGCCAUUAUUGCGGUGGUGAGCUGUGCAUGGGGUGUGACAACCCACGGAGGAGCCAAGGGCGUUGGCGAGUCCACAACGUCUGCAGUGGUCAUUUCCUUGGUUGGAAUUUUCAUUGCAGACUUCGCCCUUUCGUGCCUGUUCUUCCAGGCUGGUGCUGGUGAUUCACUAAAGCACGCGAUGGGUUAA
rnacentral:rRNA from 1 species